rnacentral:rRNA from 1 species
AUUGAACGCUGGCGGCAGGCUUAACACAUGCAAGUCGAGCGAGCGGCGCACGGGUGUGAAAUGUCUGGGAAACUGCCUGAUGGAGGGGGAUAACUACUGGAAACGGUAGCUAAUACCGCAAACCAUCAGAUGUGCCCAGAUGGGAUUAGCUAGUAGGUGGGGUAAUGGCUAACCUAGGCGACGAUCCCUAGCUGGUCUGAGAGGAUGACCAGCCACACUGGAACUGAGACACGGCCCAGAUGCCUACGGGAGGCAGAAGUGGGGAAGAUUGCACAAUGGGCGAAAGCCUGAUACAGCAAUGCCGCGUGUGUGAAGAAGGCCUUCGGGUUGUAAAGCACUUUAAGCGAGGAGGCGUUACUCGCAGAAGAAGCACCGGCUAACUCCGUGCCAGCAGCCGCGGUAAUAC